ensembl:lncRNA
GUCUAUCUUGGAUAUUUAACUGCAGUUCUGUGAGUAUCCCAACUUAACCAUGAAGAUGAACUGCAAACUGUAAGUCAUUAAUUUGUCAUUACUCUUGGGCACAUUGAUGUAUUUUGGCUUCCUGGUGGGUUAACCUGUUACCUGAAGGUUGAUCUGAGUAGUAAGGAUGUUUUAUUGGUUCAUGGGUUACUUAGGUGUUUGGUUUAUGUUGGUUUUAAUGAUUUGUUAAAAUGGUUACAGGCUCCAAGUUAUUGUUGUAAGAUGGAGUAAUGGGUUUGGUUCUGAUAUCUUUAGUCUUCUUUCAUUCUACUCUCCUGAGCUCUGCAUCUUCAUCACAUGAGUGUUGCUCUACUGUGAGGGUGUGGUCUGAGUGAGCAGAGGUGCAUACUGGGAUACAGAGCUGUCUCGAGUCUACAGGUCUGUAGACACGCCCCUUCAGGGGAAACCGAGUUUUUGAGAAACCGUCGUGACGUUAGUUACAUGGACUGGAAUGUUCUUAAAGAUGGAGACAGGGAUUCAGAAGGAGAAACACCAGGGGGAGAUGAGGGGCUCCUCAUCUCAACGACUAAAACACAACUUCAGUCUGACACAAAGAACCAUGGAACACAUUCAACAGUCCCCUCCAGGCAUCGUGACUCCUCAGGAACAGUUUCAUUUCCAAGAAGGUCUUAUUUGGGGCCAUCCCCAUAUGGAUCCUGCUCCUCAAGAGCCAACCCCCUCCACUGGGUGGUCUUCUGAACAGAUGACCUCCUUCCUGUCCUCAGGCUGACUAAAGCUGCACCGUUUGCAUCUGUGAAGGCCCCUCAUUCAGGAAACCACUGGACUACAAAGACGUGACUACAGAGACGUUGAAUCAACCUGGGACAUCAACCUGAGACGCCAAGCAUAAUCCAUCACCAAUGUGGGACGCCACUGAAGAAUGUUGUACAUAAUUUACGUCUCUGGAGACAUUGGUUGUUCUGUUCUGGGUGCCCUGGCAGGAGAGCUGGGGGUGGAUGAUGGAAUGGUAUUUGCUAUGAGGUUUUUACCCUGCAUGAUUGUUUGGCCUUUUAUGGCUCAGUGGUGUGUGUGUGUGUGUGUGUGUGUUUGACAUGAGAUGGAAGAUUUUUGAGCAUCUCUAGGGUUCUACUGUGUGUGUGUGUGUGUGUGUGUGUGUGUGUGUGUGUGUGUCACUCCCUGGCAUGGGGUUCUACGUGCCUGUCCUGGGUUCUAUGUGUGUGUGUGUCCGGCUUGCUUUGACAGUGAUAAUGUUCAUACGGGGGUCUGUGUGAUUGGCUUGGGAUAUUGGAAUGGUCAACUAAAUCAUACCUGAUGGACGGCCACACGUUUACUUAAGGGCCUCCAGUAGACAUGAAGAGCCCUGAGCGACGCUCCGGAGUGAGAUCCAACACACUGGGCAGGAAGGAGAGUGUCCAACUCAAGUGUAAAAGGAUGCAAGCGGCGUGUUCAGAUCAGUGACUUCAAACUAGGACUACACCAAUCAGGAUCAAUGGAGGAUGGACACCUAAAGGAAUUCCACAAGGAGAGUGACGUUGGAAAGGGACCUAAAUGGAUGUUCAAGAUGACCUUCAGACCUGUAAUGAGACGGCUCUUCCUACCUGGCUGGAUUGAUGGAGAGCCCUGUGGAUCUUGUCUUGCUCUCAGUUGCACUUCUUCUCAGGCUGAACUGUAUUUGUUUCGGACAGGACUAGCUGAACGAUUGGUUCCCUUUUAACCAGAACCAAUCCGGGAACUCCAGCUAGUGCGCUCUUCGAGCUGAAGUUGUGCUCUUCAGCUGAGGAGGUAAGGAAACCUUCACUGGGGCUUCAAGGUGUAAAGAGGAGAAUGUUUCAAAGUGUUCUAUGGUACUCUGAUGAAGACCGUUGUGUUCCACUGGCUGCGAGGAAGAACCCUCACAUCUUCCUCUUGGCCUUUCUCCUCUGAGAAUCCUGGCGCCAUCUUGAAGGAUAUUCCAGCUCAUGUAACUGAUGUCACGACAGAUUCUCAAACACUUGGUUUCUCCUGAGGGGCGCGUCUAUGGAACUGAAGACUUCCGACAGCACUGUAUCCCAGCAUGCAUCUCUGCUCACUCAGACCACACCCCCAUGAGUAGGAUGCAACACUCUAGUGAUGGAGUUGUAGAGUUUUAUAAGUAACUAGGGAGCAGACUAAGGUGAUUGGAACCCAAUGGAAUGUCAAGUCUGUAUAUUUUUAAGCCAUGAAGAUGGUUGGAUAGUUCAGGAAUUGGGCUUCUUUUUAUUAUUGGCAGUCCUUUCACUCAGAUGCCCACUUCUCACUGGAGCUGUACAUGUGAUGGCUGGCAUGAUUCGCUGUUGGUGAUGAGGCGGUCAGGGUGACGUUGCAGGGCUAUGGUCGGCUCUCUGUGAGCUCAACGUUUAGAUUUGCUCUGUAUGGUUUGUACCCUGAAUAAUCUAGAUAAUUGUAAAAUGUAGACACGGUUUUGUAUUGAAUGAUUCCCGGUUUUUAGGUUUAAGGUUGUUGUGGGACGUACAUGGUAGUUUGGUUCUUCGUAUGGUUUUGAGUGAUAUAACUUGUACACACCGGGUGCAUAAUAAUGUAAAGGUACACUGAAUAGUAUUAAUGACCAACAGCAACAAACAGAUCUCCUCAAGGUAAGUCUGUUGGCUGUGUUCUAAUGAAGACCAUCGCUGGACUUCAGGAUCUUCCUCCGUUCAGCUCAAGGUGUCUGCCUCCUCACCCAGAGCCAGACCUCCACCUCCUCACCCAGAGCCAGACCUCCACCUCCUCACCCAGAGCCAGACCUCCACCUCCUCACCCAGAGCCAGACCUCCACCUCCUCACCCAGAGCCAGACCUCCACCUCCUCACCCAGAGCCAGACCUCCACCUCCUCACCCAGAGCCAGACCUCCACCUCCGGUCAGAAGUCCUCCAGAACAGCUGAAAGGCGAGGCUGAGAGGCUGGAGACCAGGGGCCUGCAGCACCGGACCAGAGGGUAUAUAUACCAGACGACUACAUCUGUUUUACCACAUGUUGAAGCAAGACUUCCGCUGUUUGUUCCAGACCAGGACUCUGUCUGAGGAGAGCUGCUGGAGGAGCUGAGACGCUGGAGGACGACUAGGAAUCGACCAACAAGGAUUCCUCAACGUGUUUCUGGAGCGGAGGCGAGCUGAUUGGGGAGCCGUGAAUCUGGAGGAUGACCAUCAUUCUACCAAACAGGGUUGUUAGUUUGUAUUAACCAAACAAACUGGAAAUAAAGGGCUUAAAAAUAGGACAAACUACAUGUUUGUUACCAGACUUUAGGGCCAGACUCGCGCUGUUUGUUCCAGACCAGGACUCUGGCUGAGGAGAGCUGAUGGAGGAGCCAAGACUCUGGAGGACGACAUCACUCCACCAACCAGGAUCCUUACCAGGAAUCUGGAGGACUGAUGGAGAAGCCGUACAUCUGGAAGGCAAAUCCUGAGGACCACCAGGACUCUACCAUCAAGGAUUCCUCAUAAAUGUGCAGUAUCUGGACAUAGUGGACUAGGUAGGGGGUUCGGGGUUCAACUCUCAAACCAAUGGUGCCUGGUUCAAGUCCUCAGAAUACAGUGAUGCGUCCUUGAGCAAGGCGCCCUAAAGCCUGCCUGCUCCUUAAUGACUUAUCUUUGGUUCAGAUAAUGUUGCAUCUUUUGAAUAUUGAACCUAAUCAUUGUCCUUGUUUGGUCCGAGCAGACACAGCUGAGCUGAACCUCACCUGAUCCUGUUUGGUCGGGGGUAGACAGACCUGAGCUAAACCCGCCCUGAUCCUGACAUCCUGCUGGUCCCGUCUCCUCAGUUCAUCUGAGCCUCGUCCUCCAGAAGACCUGCUGAGCUCAGCAGUCUGAGGCUGAUGGAUCAAUGACCUCCAGUGGGAGUGUUCUUCUUGACCCCACAAGUAACCGUGUGCUUCCACACGCCUUUCCCUCACGUCUGUCACUAACCUCACUACUUCACUACUCUCUACUGCUUCCUCUUUUUUUUCCUUCUGUGGUUCGAACCUUUACACGGAAGGCGCGUCUUCCUGCCCUCAGAGGGUUUAGCGUUAGGGUUGAGUGUCAGGGUUUAGAGUCAGGGACAGAGCUGGUCAGGGAGGACUGCUUUUACAAAAACCUCUUCACUUGCUUUCGGAAUGGUGGUGACAUUUUGAAAAGAUUAAUUUGGGAAAAUGUUUUCCUCUGCUUUCCUUUACAAAAUUGUAUCAAACUUAUGUCAAGUGUUUUUGUUUAUAUAUUAAAAUCCCACAUUGACUUCUA